UUAUUUGAGAGUUUGAUCCUGGCUCAGGAUGAACGCUGGCGGCGUGCCUAACACAUGCAAGUUGAGCGAUUUACUUCGGUAAAGAGCGGCGGACGGGUGAGUAACGCGUGGGUAACCUACCCUGUACACACGGAUAACAUACCGAAAGGUAUGCUAAUACGUGAUAAUAUAUUUGAGAGGCAUCUCUU
rnacentral:rRNA from 1 species